AACGAACGCUGGCGGCAGGCCUAACACAUGCAAGUCGAGCGCCCCGCAAGGGGAGCGGCGGACGGGUGAGUAACGCGUGGGAACGUACCCUUUGCUACGGAAUAGCCUCGGGAAACUGGGAGUAAUACCGUAUGUGCCCUUCGGGGGAAAGAUUUAUCGGCAAAGGAUCGGCCCGCGUUGGAUUAGGUAGUUGGUGGGGUAAUGGCCUACCAAGCCGACGAUCCAUAGCUGGUUUGAGAGGAUGAUCAGCCACACUGGGACUGAGACACGGCCCAGACUCCUACGGGAGGCAGCAGUGGGGAAUCUUAGACAAUGGGCGCAAGCCUGAUCUAGCCAUGCCGCGUGAGCGAUGAAGGCCUUAGGGUUGUAAAGCUCUUUCAGUGGGGAGGAUAAUGACUGUACCCACAGAAGAAGCCCCGGCUAACUCCGUGCCAGCCGCCGCCGGUAACAC
rnacentral:rRNA from 1 species